rnacentral:rRNA from 1 species
AGUUCGGAUUGUCAGGCUGCAACUCGCCUGCAUGAAGUCGGAAUUGCUAGUAAUCGCGGAUCAGCAUGCCGCGGUGAAAUACGUUCCCGGGCCUUGUACACACCGCCCGUCACACCAUGAGAGCCGGUAACACCCGAAGUCAGUAGUCUAACCGCAAGGGGGACGCUGCCGAAGGUGGGGCUGGUGAUUGGGGUGAAGUCGUAACAAGGUAAC